AACGCUGGCGGCAUGCCUAACACAUGCAAGUCGAACGGAAAUUUAGCUUCGGUUAAAUUUUAGUGGCAAACGGGUGAGUAACGCGUGGGAAUCUACCCUUUGGUGGGGGAUAACUGAGGGAAACUUCAGCUAAUACCGCAUGUCCUUGGAAACAAGAAAAGAUUUAUCGCCAAAGGAGGAGCCUGCGUCAGAUUAGGUAGUUGGUAGGGUAAUGGCCUACCAAGCCUGUGAUCUGUAGCUGGUCUGAGAGGAUGAUCAGCCACACUGGGACUGAGACACGGCCCAGACUCCUACGGGAGGCAGCAGUGGGGAAUAUUGGACAAUGGGGGAAACCCUGAUCCAGCAAUGCCGCGUGAAUGAAGAAGGCCUUCGGGUUGUAAAGUUCUUUCGCCUGUGACGAUAAUGACGGUAGCAGGAAAAGAAGUCCCGGCUAACUCCGUGCCAGCAGCCGCGGUAAUACGGAGGGGACUAGCGUUGCUCGGAAUGACUGGGCGUAAAGGGUGCGUAGGCGGUUCUUUAAGUAAGGCGUGAAAGCCCUGGGCUUAACCCAGGAAGUGCGUUUUAAACUGAAGAGCUAGAGUGUGAGAGAGGAAAGUGGAAUUCCUAGUGUAGAGGUGAAAUUCGCAGAUAUUAGGAAGAACACCAGAGGCGAAGGCGGCUUUCUGGCUCACAACUGACGCUGAGGCACGAAAGCGUGGGGAGCAAACAGGAUUAGAUACCCUGGUAGUCCACGCCGUAAACGAUGAGUGCUAGACGUUGGAGGGUUACCUUUCAGUGUCGAAGCUAACGCAUGAAGCACUCCGCCUGAGUAGUACGGUCGCAAGAUUAAAACUUAAAGGAAUUGACGGGGGCCCGCACAAGCGGUGGAGCAUGCGGUUUAAUUCGAAGCAACACGAAAAACCUUACCAGCCUUUGACAUGGGAAUUAGGGGUUUCAGAGAUGAGACCCGUCGGUUCGGCCGGAUUCUACACAGGUGCUGCAUGGCCGUCGUCAGCUCGUGUCGUGAGAUGUUGGGUUAAGUCCCGCAACGAGCGCAACCCUCAUCCUUAGUUGCCAGCAGUUUUAGCUGGGGACUCUAAGGAAACUGCCGGUGAUAAGCCGGAGGAAGGUGGGGAUGACGUCAAGUCCUCAUGGCCCUUACGGGCUGGGCUACACACGUGCUACAAUGGCGGUGACAGAGGGAUGCAAAGGAGCAAUCCUUCGCAAAUCUCAAAAAGCCGUCUCAGUUCGGAUUGGGGUCUGCAACUCGACCCCAUGAAGUUGGAAUCGCUAGUAAUCGCAGAUCAGCACGCUGCGGUGAAUACGUUCCCGGGCCUUGUACACACCGCCCGUCACACCAUGGGAGUUGGCUUUACCUGAAGACGGUGCGCUAACCGCAAGGAGGCAGCCGGCCACGGUAGGGUCAGCGACUGGGGUG
rnacentral:rRNA from 1 species